GUGCAGGUGGUUUAAGGCAAAGACUUCCAGUAGACUGAGCUUGACAGAUUAAUUUGGCCACUGCUAAAAAAAAUUGAUUUGAGCUAUUAAAGCGAUUUAAUUCCAUAUAAAAAGGUUUCGUCUUCAUGGUGCAAAGGUUUUUUUGGGAUUUCUGGAAAAACAUUUCGUCUGCAGGUGGUUUAAGGCAAAGACUUCCAGUAGACUGAGCUUGACAGAUUAAUUUGGCCACUGCUAAAAAAAUUGAUUUGAGCUAUUAAAGCGAUCGCUAUAGGUAGAUUUUGGGCAGUCAAGGAUUUGCUGUUCAGCAUAUAUAAAUACAUUACAGAUUUCACACAGAUUUGAGUCCACGGCUUUAAUUCCAUAUAAAAAGGUUUCGUCGUAAGUAUGCCCUGUCAUCAGACUUUUUGAUGUCUAUGCGGUUUGCUUUCAAUUUCAGUUCAUGGUGCAAAGGUUUUUUUGGGAUUUCUGGAAAAACAUUUCGUCGUAAGUAUGCCCUGUCAUUCGACUUUUUAAAGUCUAUGCGGCUUGUGUU